CCUACGGGUGGCAGCAGUAGGGAAUCUUUCACAAUGGGCGAAAGCCUGAUGGAGCAACGCCGCGUGCAGGAUGAAGGCCUUCGGGUUGUAAACUGCUUUUAUAAGCGAGAAAUAUGAUGGUAACUUAUGAAUAAGGAUCGGCUAACUACGUGCCAGCAGCCGCGGUCAUACGUAGGUGGCAAGCGUUAUCCGGAUUUACUGGGUGUAAAGGGCGUGUAGGCGGGAGAGCAAGUCAGACGUGAAAUUCCAGGGCUCAACCCUGGAACUGCGUUUGAAACUGUUCUUCUUGAGUGCUGGAGAGGCAAUCGGAAUUCCGUGUGUAGCGGUGAAAUGCGUAGAUAUACGGAGGAACACCAGUGGCGAAGGCGGAUUGCUGGACAGUAACUGACGCUGAGGCGCGAAAGCGUGGGGAGCAAACAGGAUUAGAUACCCGGGUAGUC
rnacentral:rRNA from 1 species